rnacentral:rRNA from 1 species
AGAGUUUGAUCCUGGCUCAGAUUGAACGCUGGCGGCAUGCCUAACACAUGCAAGUCGAACGGUAACAGGCCGUAUGGGAUCCCUUCGGGGUGACCUUGGCGCUGACGAGUGGCGGACGGGUGAGUAAUACUUAGGAAUCUGCCCAAUAGUGGGGGACAACUCGAGGAAACUCGAGCUAAUACCGCAUACGCCCUACGGGGGAAAGCGGGGGAUCUUCGGACCUCGCGCUAUUGGAUGAGCCUAAGUCGGAUUAGCUUGUUGGUAGGGUAAAGGCCUACCAAGGCGACGAUCCGUAGCUGGUCUGAGAGGACGAUCAGCCACACUGGGACUGAGACACGGCCCAGACUCCUACGGGAGGCAGCAGUGGGGAAUAUUGGACAAUGGGCGCAAGCCUGAUCCAGCAAUGCCGCGUGUGUGAAGAAGGCCUGCGGGUUGUAAAGCACUUUCAGUAGAGAAGAAAUGCCUGGGGUUAAUAACUCCGGGUCUUGACGUAACCUACAGAAGAAGCACCGGCUAACUCCGUGCCAGCAGCCGCGGUAAUACGGAGGGUGCGAGCGUUAAUCGGAAUUACUGGGCGUAAAGCGCGCGUAGGCGGCUAGGUCAGUCGGAUGUGAAAGCCCCGGGCUCAACCUGGGAAUUGCAUUCGAAACUGCCUGGCUAGAGUAUGGGAGAGGGAAGCGGAAUUUCGGUGUAGCGGUG